UGUUAUAUAGGACAAAUGAUCUUAUCUAAUAUCAAAUCUAGGCAAAAGAGCAUACGUAAGCAUACGUAAAUACAAGUUAAAUCGCAAUUAAACUUCCUAAAAAUACAUAUACAUAAUAUUUAAUAAAUCGUACCAAAAUGAAUACAGAAGAAAUUAUUGAUUUCACGGAUAUAGAACCAGAUAUUCAAUCUCUAAUAAAGAAGAGUGUAGCUGCUCGUGAGUACUCUUAUUCACCCUAUAGUAAAUUUAAAGUCGGAGCUGGAGUGCUUUGUACCGAUGGGAUCAUCUUCACAGGGUGCAAUGUAGAAAAUGCAUCUUAUCCUGUAGGAACAUGUGCUGAAAGAACAGCUAUUGUUAAAGCAGUGUCAGAAGGGAAAAGAAAGUUUAAAGUCCUAGCAGUUGUAGCUAAUAAAGUGAAUAAUAAUUUUACCACACCAUGUGGCUUUUGUAGACAAGCUAUCGCAGAGUUUGGUGAUAUACCAAUUUAUUUAGCAGAACCUUUAAUGAAGGAUGUGUUAAAAACUUCGCUAAGUAACCUAUUACCUUGUGCCUUUGGGUUGGGAAACGCAGAAACAUUACAAUAAAUUCUUAAUAAAAGAAGGCUAAACCACACACCAACGUCUAAAACAUCAUUUAGUAUUUCUUUAAAAUCAUAGUUCAUUUUUAUAUCAAUUGAUAUACUAGGAUAUUGUUCUGUCCUAUAAUAAAAAUGUGCAAACAUUGUUGUGUACAUUGUAUAAACUAUACAAAUUUCAAUAAAUACAAAGACAAUCCUUAAGAAAAAAAUAUUGUUACUAUAAUCUUAUUCCUGAGUAGAUCUUUUCAUGUUUACAUAAAAAUUGAUUAUCAUAUGGUUUCUAAAGCGUGUUUUUUCUAAUGUACAUUGUACUUUAUAAGCAGGAAUAACAUGAGUAUUAUAUA